GAUGAACGCUGGCGGCGUGCCUAAUACAUGCAAGUCGAGCGGACAGACGAGGAUCUUGCUCCGCUGACGUUAGCGGCGGAGGUGUGAAUAACACGUGGAUACCCUACCUAUAUGUCUGGGAUAACCUCGGGAAACCGGAGCUUAUCCCGGAUAAUCUCUUGAAGCACGUGGUUCAAUGGUGAAUUACGGCUUUGGUGUCUCUUCUCGCUGGUUCUGCGCCGCUUUAGCUGGUUGGUACGGUCCUGGGUUACCAAGGCGACGAUGCGUAGCCGACCUGACGGGGUGAUCGGCCACACGGGAGGGGAGACACGGUCCAGACGCCUACGGGAGGGAGCAGUAGGGAAUGUGCCGCAGUGGGCGGGAGCCUGACGGAGCAGGGGCGCGUGAGUGAUGGAGGUGUUCGGAGCGUAAAACUCUGUUAUGAGGGAAGAACAGAUGUGUAAGUAACUAUGCACGGCGUGACGGUACCUAAUCAGAAAGCCCCGGCUAACUACGUG
rnacentral:rRNA from 1 species